UUAUGAAAAGGUAAAGGCUCAUUCAUAUGCUUUUCAUUUCCCUUGUUGCAUUUCUGAAAACAACGAUUACUGAUAGGCGAUGUUAGUCACUGGACAACUGGAUUUAUAUAGUCAUUAUAAAGGUCACUGUACUCUAAGUGUUUUGGCAUAGGAAUGUCACCUAACUGAUGUGAUUGUUCCUUCCUUGUUGUCACUUGACUUACAGUUGUUAAUUGUUUUAUUGCGGUAACUGGACAUAGGAUUUGUUAUAAUCACUGAAUCUAGAGUGUUUUUGUCACUGGACUUGGCAGUUAUGGUCACUGUACCGCUUGAAUGGACUGAUAAAUUUACAAGGUAAAUAUCGAUUUAUUUUGUCAUUACUAGAAACAUUUAAAAAAAUUCAAAAGACUAUUUUCGGAAUUUUCUUUUAUUACAGAAAACUUUUACAGCUGGUUUCUGGAAACAGAGUUAUAAUUUCUACCCCCCCCCCCCCUUUCCCCCAGUUGAAACAAACUCUUUACAAAACUUCAUCAUCAGUACUAGAUUGGAGGUCUAAAACUACAGUGUUGAAGUACAUUGGGUAUUUUUAUAAAAUGGGCACGAACAUAUCAAGAAAUAUCUUCGAUACUACCGUGUGAUGAAGUAUAUGUCAGCUUAUAUUUGCAAAAUCUAUUAGAUACCAGUAGUCAAUGCAGUGGUGUUGAGGCUGCAUUUUACAGUAUUUAGUGAGCACAUCAUAUUGCGGGUAUAAAGAAUCCUUGUGAUUGAGAUUUUGUAAGAAGUAUACUUGACGCAUCUAAACAUAUAUUAUCUAGACCGAUUCAGAAAAAAAAUGAUCACUUUAUAAAACAAAAAUUUGAGACAUAAUCAGAAAUUAGUUUUAUUAUUUUAUUAGAGAAUACAGCUUGGUUUGGGGUUUUAGUUAGUUUCAGCAAUUAAGUAUCGUUGUGCACAACAAUGUGUUAUGUGUGUUUGACCAAGUGAAUUUUGAACUACUUAAAUAUAUUUGCUUUGUUCCUACAAUCCGAACAAACCAUCAGGACCUGGUUGUUCAAAAGUGUCGUUAGGCUAACAACUAGUUAAGCCUAAUAACUCGUUAAAGUUUUACAUUGUUGUGAUGCUUAUCACUGCGUUAAAUUAUGUUGUUCAAAACAAUUUAACGACUGGGUUAACUAACAACUUGCUUAAAAAUUUAACAACUCUUAAUUUUAAUAUUUACCAAUAAUUCCCUGUUGAAAAUUAAAUUUAACCAAUAAUUCCUCCACUUCCUGUUUGAAAAUGGCUGAACAACAACCCCAAGAGAAAAUACCCAGAAUAAGAGGGCAGAACUUUUCCAAAAUGGAAGUUAACCUCAUUAGUAGAAGAGUGGUUGAGGAACUUGUUUUGUUGAGGAGAGGAAACGGACAGGAGAAGGACCUUCUCCAAAGCCCAUCAGUGUUGCUGAGGAGAACAUCAUCAAUCUUUGAAAGAUACCUCCUAUUUCAAAGGUAUUGAUGAAGGGAUGGAGAAUUCAGUAGAGAGAAACAUGUGAGAGCAGAACAACAGAAUUCAGUAUACAAGGUGUGUAUUUAAAUAAGAUAUCCAUGCAUACACGUCCAUAAAUUACUAAAGAAAUUUUGUUUGAUGCUUGUCUGAUGAAAAUCAAUUUAUCUAAAAAAAAAAAAAAAGAUCCAUCUAUUUGCUUCUGAUCGAUUUCAAGGAUUUGUAUAGUAGUCUGUAACCUUUUAUAACUUAUUAGUAUUUAAGAAAAAAAUGACAGUUUCUAAUACAUAUUUUUUUUUUAAAUUGCGGGCCAAACACGUUUAAUAAAUGUUUUAUAAAAGUUCCUAAUACAGAUUUAUAUAAGCAAGGGUUUAUAAAAUGUUAAAACUGACUGGAAAUUUGCAAUAUUUUUAUAAUUGUAACCAUGGGUCAAUAAGUGAAGAGUGGGAUUUUUUGCCUAUGUUGAAAUUAAUUUUGUAUACAUUUUCGAGUGCAAUUGUAAUCAAUGAAGGAUAAUGUUCAUGCAUAUCGAUCCUUUGUAUGCAUAGUAUAUAAAUGACAGCUCGUGAAAACAGAGACAAGAAUAAGAUUAUUCAAUUGUUAUUCUGUGUUAUUCUAUUUGAAUUGGAUAUAAUGAAGGGUAUAAAUUAUCUAUCUAAUAUCCCAAAUAACAGGAUUGUUAAACAAAAUAUAAUUAAGUGACUUCUAUUUCAGAAAGCUCAUCAUCUGAUCAGAUAUAUUCUGCUGAACCUGUCAGCUCACAAAUUCCAGCACAGAUUACUGCUUCAAGAUGCCAGACAGCUGAUGAACCACCAUCCUUUUGGAGAGUAUCUGGAUUAGGAGACUAGAGCAGCUUCAACAGAGAAAUGAAGAAACACCUGUUACUGUACAUGCCAGCCUACCAGUGCGUGCCUAAAUACCUCUUUCAGCUACCAGCACUCAGCAAACCCCAAAAGCCAGAAAGAAAGCGGAUGAAGAAAGCUACGAGAAAACUGCAAACGACGUGUAUGAGUUGCAGUGUCAGGUGUUGCAAAGCGAGUUGAAAAGAAAUCAGACCAAAAUGGAACUAUUCGAUAAGCAAAUGGAAUUCUAUAACAUGAUGAAAGGUUUUUUUAAAAUAACUGUACCGUUUCAAUGUUGAAGCUCUACCUAAUUACCUUUAAUCAGCAUUUAUUUAUCGUUCCAUAUUAAUGUUAUUUUUUUCAUAUGUUUUAUUAUUAUUGAUGAAAUGCAUAUUUAAAAAAAAGCUUUUUUCAAUGUUUUAUUCGUGGAUUUCAGCGAUUAAAAAUGUGGAGGAAAUGUGAUCUCUGACAGCUCUUCCAUUCUGAUCACCAACGAAACGUUCCCCAAGAUCUCCCUCAUUGCCUAUCACUACUCCAUCAUAUUCGAUGUCCGGUUCAUUCAAUAAGAUGCAAAUGUUGUGAGAAAUAGCACAAGAAAUGAUGAUAGUGCAUGCCUUGCUUGGUGUCAUUCUUAUCUUAAACCAAAAAGUAAAAGUAAUGUACAAUAUAUAAUUACAGGGCCACAAAUUUCCAGCUUUGGCCUUAGUUUUCAACUUUAUAAGACUAAGAUAAGCUCACAAAUAUAUUUUAUAAUGCAAAGCAUUUUUUUAUUUUGUAUAGUUUUACACCUUUUUUAAAGUUUCAAAUGUUAACAAUGAAUCUAUUGUUUUUGGUCAGGACAUAAACAGAUUUGGCUUUGAAAUUGCAUGUUUCAAAUUUGUCUGAUCAUCCGAAUGUGUUCGCUUUUGUUCCUCUCUGAAUUAACAGUUAUCAUAUUGAUAUGGAUAAUAAUUGAUAUAUAAAAUUUUAAAAGUAAUUUACUGCUAAUUAUUUAGAUAAUUAUUAAUUUUCAGGAGCCAAUGUGACUUCAAGUCCUUCUUUGCAUAGCAAUUCGUAUAACAUAUACCUCUGAGUGUAAUAUAUGGAACCGUCUCUUAAGACUUCCAAAUGUCCUCUCAAUUACACUUCUGGUUAACGAAUGGCAUCUGUUGUGUUUUUUCUGUUGGUUUUGUACAGGAUUCUGGUAUGGGGUCAUCAAGAAGGAGCGGCAAGGAUAUCCACUAUCUCCAAGAAGUUAGCCAUUUCCCAAUCCGUCAUUUUGUUCCUUACAUGUACAGACCUAUGUAACGAUUUAGAUUUUUUAAACCAAUUCUUUAGUUUUAACAACAAAAAGUUCUAAAAUACUGCAGAUAUAAAAAUGACAUUGCAAUAUUAUAUAACUUCCUUCAAAAACCCUUAUCUAAUACACUGCAGUGGUAAUAAAAUAUGAUUUAUUACAGACUCCAGUAACAACAUUUACAAGGCUUGAAUUCCUUUUAAGUUCAGUGUAAUCAAGUAUACUUCUCCCUUAAAAUGCACGUGAGAGAUGUGAAUAAGCAUUGUUUUUUCAAUACACUCAGUCUGUGAAUACCAAUCACAGAAAAUACCAUCAAAACAACUCAAAUGAUGAAAGGGAGUGAAAAUACGUGGAUUUUUUUUUACCUCCCUCACAGGUGAUAUGUCUUAAGAUGAAGAUCUCAUUUUUUUUUAAAUAAGAAAAAGUCUUCCUUCUUUAAUUGUUGCGUUGGCAUGUAUGGCAUAUAUAUUAUUAUUAUUACAAAGUAUCAGCCAUAACAACAAUCAAACUCAGUCAGAGCAAUCACCAGUGUAUACAAUAUUCAGAAACCAUUCCAAUAUUAAAUGAAAUAUGAUCAAAAUGUUUUAAAACUUACCAUUUGUGUCUUCAACUACUUGCAGAAAACUUCCAGAGCUAAACAUCUCAGGGUCACCAUUAUUUGCUGUGGUACAGUCAAAACAUGAUUUCUGUUUGUUUGUCUUCUUUCAUCAUUACUAAUUUAGUUUGACAAAAACAUUAUUCCAUUUCUCACAAAGCUGUAGCGUUGUCUAAACUCCUCAUUUGUGAAAUUUAAGGUUAGGUCAUCUUUGAGUCGAAAAUUUCUUUCUUUUCCUUGAGCUUUUUGAAGGCGGCCAUAUUUAACAAACAUUUUAACAUUUAAUCGAAUGUACAUGUAUGUUCAAGUGUUCAGUAUGAAAUACAUAUAUUUGAUUUUUAUUUUUUUACCGGAUGGAACAAAGGCUGAAUAUAAUCAUUGCCUUUAAAACAUUCAUAUGCAAUAAUAUGGGAUCAAAUAAAUCUUUUAACAGAUAACAAAAUUCAAAUCUAAAAUAUAAGAACUUGAUAUUACAUUACAUGUAUAAACCGGUAUGCAAAAUAAAAUGUAAUAUAAAUAUUCAUGUUCAUAUAGAAUGUAAAAUUGAAAAUGGAAAUGGGGAAUGUGUCAAAGAGACAACAACCCGACCAGAAAACAGCCCAAGGCCAUCAAUGGGUCUUCAACAUGUGUACAUGUGAACAAUUCAACAAAUGUAUGUACCACUGAUAUCUACUACAAUAAAAUAUCUAAAAUGUAGGUGCUGCUAUAGCUUUAUAUAUGUAAAUUGAUAAUCAUGAUGUAUGUCAUGCUUGCCUUAUAUCAUGUAUAUUGUCUUGCAAUAUUGUUAAUUUUCAUUUUUAUCGUUAUCAUUUUCAUUUUCAUUUUAUUUGUUUGUUUUAUUUGUUAAAUUUUUUAAUAUCUUUUCAUUUAAACCGAAUAACUGUGCCCUUCUGUAUUUUUGUAUGUUUAUAUGCUAUGUUUACAAUGUGUAAAUGUAUCUAAGCAUCAUAUGCUAUUGACCAAAUACAUGUAAGACAUGGUCAAUUUGUACUUUUUCACCAAAUAAAUGAUUUAUUUUAAAUGUAA